GACGAACGCUGGCGGCGUGCUUAACACAUGCAAGUCGAACGGAAAGGCCCUGCUUUUGUGGGGUGCUCGAGUGGCGAACGGGUGAGUAACACGUGAGUAACCUGCCCUUGACUUUGGGAUAACUUCAGGAAACUGGGGCUAAUACCGGAUAGGAGCUCCUGCUGCAUGGUGGGGGUUGGAAAGUUUCGGCGGUUGGGGAUGGACUCGCGGCUUAUCAGCUUGUUGGUGGGGUAGUGGCUUACCAAGGCUUUGACGGGUAGCCGGCCUGAGAGGGUGACCGGCCACAUUGGGACUGAGAUACGGCCCAGACUCCUACGGGAGGCAGCAGUGGGGAAUAUUGCACAAUGGGCGGAAGCCUGAUGCAGCAACGCCGCGUGCGGGAUGACGGCCUUCGGGUUGUAAACCGCUUUCGCCUGUGACGAAGCGUGAGUGACGGUAAUGGGUAAAGAAGCACCGGCUAACUACGUGCCAGCAGCCGCGGUGAUACGUAGGGUGCGAGCGUUGUCCGGAUUUAUUGGGCGUAAAGGGCUCGUAGGUGGUUGAUCGCGUCGGAAGUGUAAUCUUGGGGCUUAACCCUGAGCGUGCUUUCGAUACGGGUUGACUUGAGGAAGGUAGGGGAGAAUGGAAUUCCUGGUGGAGCGGUGGAAUGCGCAGAUAUCAGGAGGAACACCAGUGGCGAAGGCGGUUCUCUGGGCCUUUUCCUGACGCUGAGGAGCGAAAGCGUGGGGAGCGAACAGGCUUAGAUACCCUGGUAGUCCACGCUGUAAACGGUGGGUACUAGGUGUGGGGUCCAUUCCACGGGUUCCGUGCCGUAGCUAACGCUUUAAGUACCCCGCCUGGGGAGUACGGCCGCAAGGCUAAAACUCAAAGGAAUUGACGGGGCCCCGCACAAGCGGCGGAGCAUGCGGAUUAAUUCGAUGCAACGCGUAGAACCUUACCUGGGUUUGACAUGGAUCGGGAGUGCUCAGAGAUGGGUGUGCCUCUUUUGGGGUCGGUUCACAGGUGGUGCAUGGCUGUCGUCAGCUCGUGUCGUGAGAUGUUGGGUUAAGUCCCGCAACGAGCGCAACCCUUGUUCACUGUUGCCAGCACGUUAUGGUGGGGACUCAGUGGAGACCGCCGGGGUCAACUCGGAGGAAGGUGGGGAUGACGUCAAGUCAUCAUGCCCCUUAUGUCCAGGGCUUCACGCAUGCUACAAUGGCUGGUACAGAGAGUGGCGAGCCUGUGAGGGUGAGCGAAUCUCGGAAAGCCGGUCUCAGUUCGGAUUGGGGUCUGCAACUCGACCUCAUGAAGUCGGAGUCGCUAGUAGUCGCAGAUCAGCAACGCUGCGGUGAAUACGUUCCCGGGGCU
rnacentral:rRNA from 1 species